AUUGAACGCUGGCGGCAUGCUUUACACAUGCAAGUCGAACGGUAACAGGCCGCAAGGUGCUGACGAGUGGCGAACGGGUGAGUAAUGCAUCGGAACGUGCCCAGUCGUGGGGGAUAACGCAGCGAAAGCUGCGCUAAUACCGCAUACGAUCUAUGGAUGAAAGCGGGGGACCGUAAGGCCUCGCGCGAUUGGAGCGGCCGAUGUCAGAUUAGGUAGUUGGUGGGGUAAAGGCUCACCAAGCCAACGAUCUGUAGCUGGUCUGAGAGGACGACCAGCCACACUGGGACUGAGACACGGCCCAGACUCCUACGGGAGGCAGCAGUGGGGAAUUUUGGACGAUGGGCGCAAGCCUGAUCCAGCAAUGCCGCGUGCAGGAAGAAGGCCUUCGGGUUGUAAACUGCUUUUGUACGGAGCGAAACGGUCCUGGUUAAUACCCGGGGCUAAUGACGGUACCGUAAGAAUAAGCACCGGCUAACUACGUGCCAGCCGCCGCAGUAAAAC
rnacentral:rRNA from 1 species